rnacentral:rRNA from 1 species
CCUACGGUUGGCAGCAGUAGGGAAUAUUGCUCAAUGGGGGAAACCCUGAAGCAGCAACGCCGCGUGGAGGAUGAAGGUUUUAUGAUUGUAAACUCCUUUGUGCGAGAAGAUAAUGACGGUCUCUCACGCAUCAUCACCUGCUAACUCCGUGCCAGCAGCCGCUGUAAUCCGGAGGGUGCCAGCGUUACUCGGAAUCACUGGGGGUAAAGAGUGCGCAGGCGGGCUUGUAAGUCAGAUGUGAAAUCCUGUAGCUUAACUACAGAACUGCAUUUGACACUAUGAGUCUGGAGUGUGGGAGAGGUAGGUGGAAUUCGUGGUGUAGGGGUAAAAUCCGUAGAUAUCAAGAGGAACACUCAUUGCGAAGGCGACCUACUGGAACGUGACUGAC